AGUGCAUCAUUCCCCAUUUCGUUUUACCCUGGUCAUGUUGCACAUUGGGUGUUGUUUCUAAAUAAAUAGAGAAAGGCCAGUGUUGAUGGAACAGAAGGAGCUGAAUUCAUCUUUGACUACCUGGGAAAGCAGUCUCCACACAAUACUGGCUGCCCGGUUUUCAAAGCUGUAGAUCCUGUACCCAAGCUACUUGCACGCACAGGAAUGGGCCAAAAUCUUUCUCCUGCCUCUUCCCCAGCUGACUGUUCUUUUGUUUCUGAAGUCAAAGCAUGCAUUUGUCACUAAUUGUGACUCUCAAUCCAGCCAAUCUCUUCUAUACUCUGUGGAAGCUUUCUUUGGUAUCUGGGGAAAAUGCUACAUUCUUCUGAUUAUUUUCAGUAUUUUGAAUUUUGACCAUGCAUUUCAUCAAGUUUUGUUUUCAUCUAGAAUUUCUUUUUAAUGAAAGUGAUAUGUACUUGUAAGAAUUUGAAACAGCAUAAAGUAUAUAAGGUUGAACUAAUUCGUGCUUUAACUAGUACCCCAGAGGAAACCACUUUUAACAAUUUGGUGUAUAAUUUUCCAGACUGUUUUCCCGGAGAACAUGUAAGUAUGUGUAUAUAUAUAUAUAUUUUAAAUAGCAUUAUGCUAUGAAUAUAUUUUGCAACUUGCCUCUGUCACUUCGUAGAGUGGAUUUUGGUUCUUUAUGUCAGUACACAUAGAGAAACUUGUUUGUAAUCAUUCAGCAUAAGUCCCUUUUUAGUGGGGAAUUCUCCUAUCAUUUCAUUUUCUAUUUUUGUAGUGGUUUGGGGUCUAAGUGUUCUUCUUAUGCCAAUUUUGGAAUUUCGUAUUUUUAUAGAAUGUAUACUGUUGUUGACUUUAUUACCUUAUAGUUAUUCAUAAUAUUAUUUUUAUUACCCAGUUUGUAUUUUAUCUGGUUUAUUUUCCCUUUAAAUAAAUCUGGAGCCCCUGGGACCUGGUUUCACUAUAUCUCCUGGAGUUUUUCAAGUGAUCGGAAUUUUGAAAGUCUGUCCAGACUUCCUAAUACAGGUUAGGACGCUGCCGUGACAUAGCUGUCUUGAAAUAUUCUUUUAUGCUUUAAAGAACUCAUUGUGAAAAGAAUUAUGUUAAUAUAAAAAAGGAAAACGCCUCCUGUAGUGCUUUUCAUUAGGAAAUUCAGGUUCUAUGAACGAUACGAUGAGUCACACUCAAGUUGUAGAACAUCAUUUUAGGUGAAAUAAAAAAACUUCUUCCUCUGCUGGUCCCUCAGUGUCUCCGGAUAGUGGCAAAGCCUCCCACCCACUCUAGAAAGAGGGGAACUAGACAGCUUGUAAAAUCUGGGCAGAGUGAUCUUUCUUCUCUUCCCUCGGGUACUUGGAAAUAGUAUCGGAACUCACCAGCGUGCUCAGGUAUGUGAGAUCAUAUCUUUUGGCAGUCAGGAAAUGAAUCAGUAGCCCUGUGUAUUAUUUUUCCCUGCAGUGUUGUGAUUUAAGCUGUUAGAAAGUUUGAGAUCACUUAGGCUUUCAGAGCGAUGAUCAUCUUACAUGGAGAUUAAUGGCCCUUCCAUUCAGGGCUGCAUUUGACGGGUAGAGAACUAUUAGGCAUCAAUUACAAUGAUAAGGAUAAUGCAUCAGUGUCCUGAUGCUCCCUCAGAUGUGCUGAUUGGUGCAACGUGGAUAGUUCAGAGACGCCUCUGCUAUUUUUAGACCAUAACAACAUCCUGAUGAAUGUCUGUUUUUUUCCCCUUGAAAUCUAGGCCACAAAGUCACAUUUGUAUUUAUGUGCAUGUGUGUGUGUGCGCGUUUGUUCUCUGCUUUGAGUUCACUUUGCAGGGCACUAUGUUGGAAUUUACCUGACAACCUCGUCCACAACUGCCAAAGAAAGACAUUUGCAACUUGUGUGAGAGUUUCUUUUAUUUCAUCUAUUCACAAUACUUUGAAGAUGUGGAGCAUGUGUUUAUUGAAGCCUUAUCUCUAUUAAUAAAAUAUUCCAUCAAAUAUUGUUGCAGUUUCUAAACAGGUACCUUUUCAUAUACAACCCUGAAGCCCUGGUAUAUACCUUUAUUAUUUUUUUUCCUGUACCUUCAGAAUGGUUUUUCCCUUCUGUGAAAUAUGAACUUCCAGAUAAAAGCCGAUUUGUCUUUACAUAUAACUCCAUUCCUCAGCAGAUUUUUGUCCUCCCUUAGAGGGCAAAGUCCUUCUAGAUUUUCUCUUGCCAAGUUUAGCUACCUCAUAAAUGAUUUUCUGUCCCAAGCUGCCAUUAGAGUUCAUAGGAAAGGUAACAUUUAAAAAUCACAAUUGUUGGAGUCAGAUGAAAAUAUUGCUUGUGAUAGAUAGGCAUGGUUGUGGUUUUAUGGGGUUGGAUAGGAAGUCCUAUGUGCUUAUUCCCCAUUAGAUGGGGUUCUGGAAUGAUAAACUUGCCCUUAAAUUUUGGAAUCAUUAACAAAUAUUUCUGCACAAUGAUCAAAGCUUAAAUAGAGGUUAAGAUAAAGAAUACAGAGUACAGAAUAGGCACUUAAAAGUCAGCUCAUACAUUCAUUUAUAAUUCAUACUAUGUCUAUCCAGAAAGAGUUGGAUGUGGUUUAUAAUAAAAGACGGACAUGGGACACAACCUUUAGAAUUAGGGCAAGAAGACAGGAGCUAAAUAAAGAGAAGAGCAAUUCCUAACCUAUGGGCUACUACAGGUUUUGAACAAUACUUCUACGUGAAGAUGCAGCAGGUUACAUAGUUCUUAUUAAAUAACAAGAAUGAUGUUAUUAGAUACAAACCUUUUAUUAGUCUCUAUUUUAAGACAAGGUGGAUUUUUAAAAAUGUGAAACAACAAGUUUUGAAUUAAUAGUACGUGAAACUUGAUCCAAAAUGGUGAGAGAGGUAAGCUCUGCAAAUGGAAGAAAUAAAGCAGGGAAUUUCCCAUUGGCUAUCCACCUUUUGGCUUUUAUAUGAGGCACUUUUUUUGGUUUGUUUUGUUAUUAGUGAUUAAAGUGUUUCAAAUACCUAUGCAUAUUCAAGAAUUAUUAGAAGCAUUAAUGAAUUACCACAGGAGAAAAAAAAUCAAUUCCCUUCAGAUGCAAAUAUCAGUGAGAAAAUGAGCUCUUUUUACCUUUUUCUUUUCUAGUUGCAGGUAAUGAAAUAAAAGAGAUGUCUUGUAUUCAAUGUUUCAUGUCAGGAAGAAUACGGGUUUUAAUGAAUCUCAGUCCUUAGGAAGAUAAUAUGCUCCAGUAUUUCACCUUCAGUGGUCCAGGGAAGGUAUUGCUUUAGUCAUAAGUAAAACAAGCUUCACACUGGUGCCCAACUGGGAAUUUGCUGGGAGAGUAUUUUACCUACACCAGAUUUACUAAGCACUAACUGCCCAAACAUGAGAUCUACUCAUCUUGAUUCCUCUCUUUCAUUAACAGCCCACAGCCAAUCCACUUGAAAAAUCAUCAUAGAUCGCUCUUUAAAGUUCAUCCAGAAUCUGACUACUACUUAGCACCUCCUCUGCUACCAUGCUGGCCAUGCAACCAUCUUCUGCCUUGACUACAGCCAUAUCUCCCCAACUGGCCUUUCUGUUUCCACAAUUUCUGCACAUGGAAUAUUCUGCAUACAGCAGCCGGACUGAUUGAUUGAAACGGACCUUCAAGAUGGCAGAGGAGUAAGAUGUGGAGAUCAACUUCCUCCCCAUAAAUACAUCAAAAAUACAUCUACAUGUGGAACAACUCCUACAGAACACCUACUGAACGCUGGCAGAAGACCUCAGACCUCCCAAAAGUACGCGGGCCUCUCACUGUUGUGGCCUCUCCCGUUGCGGAGUACAGGCUCUGGACGCGCAGGCUCAGCGGCCAUGGCUCACGGGCCUAGCUGCUCCGCGGCAUGUGGGAUCUUCCCGGAACGGGGCACGAACCCGUGUCCCCUGCAUCGGCAGGCGGACACUCAACCACUGCGCCACCAGGGAAGCCCUAGGGAUAUGUGUUGGGGUAGAGAGUUAUAGAGGAGUGGAGAGAGAAAUGUAAGUAUCAGAAUUCUUUUUUUUUUUAAUAAUUAGUUUUAUUGUUACAAAGCAAUGAAGACUUUCAAUAGGAGUGUAAGGGUUAAAGCCACUGCUAAAUGUCUUUGUUAAUGUUUUUUGUGGGUUUUUUUCCCAUCAAUACUGUUUAUGGCAAACACUACUGGCUGGCUGAACCAAUACCCAUCCAUUUCAGCUAGUGAUGACCAUGUAAUACAUUUGUGGGUCAGAGCUAUAUAAGUAGAAGUUUGUUAUGUGAGGGGUUUGCUUUCCUGAUAAAAAGAGGUACAUUGAUCUGGCGCCGCAUUCUCACCUUUAUGCCUUUUGUUCCUUCUUCUCCUGUCUGGAAUGCAGACCCAGAUACACAGCAUCACUUUACAAUCAGGUGGCAGUAAGUAUGAGUACAUAAGCCUUUCCACUGAAGACGGUGGGGUAUGACGUUAAAAAAGAGCCAAAGUCCCCGCAUAGCAUCUCUGAGAAGCCGAACUAACUUCCCAUCUCAAGACUUAACUGUUCUGUGUGAAAGAUGAAUCCCUGUUUGCUUAAACUUCUCUUUGUUUUCUGUUAUUUGAAGCUGCAUCCACCCAUUCCUAAUCAGUUUACACUUUUAGACUUUUCAGUUAUCUGCCAUUAAUUGAAUGCUUAUACUGUGCCAGGCGCAGUGCUAAGUAUUUACAUAUGUUAAUUUAAUUCACAGGACAGCCAUAAGGAAAGUAACACUUUAUUACAGAUGACAUACUGGCAUACAGGAUGGAUGGAUCCCUGUGUGACUGGAAUGGUUUCAUCAGAUAGAGAAACUGAAGCAGAGAAAUGUUAAACAACUUUGCAUAGCUAGACCCACACUCCACCCUCCUCUCCGCUGGUCACACCCCCUUGAGGCUAACCUGCCUGAACGAAGUCAACAGAGAUCCUGGUCCCUCAAGUCAGGUUUAGCAAAUGGGAAUUCUGGGAGGAUGCAGGAAGAAGGUCACUGCUCUGUGCCGGCUGACCCACUCUUUCUUUCUGAGUUUUGGUAAUUUUACUUCCCACCAUCUCUUUAGCUUGGGUUUCUGCCCUGUCCUUUCACUUCCCCUUUUAAUUAGAUUUUUGAUAAAUAAACCCUCCUCAAAUUAUCCUAAUUCAACUGUGUCAUAGGUAGCCUGUUGGAAACCUGGUGGACACAGCAACCUUCACUCAUGUAUUCAUUCAUUUAGUAAAUAUUUUUUCAGUGCCCACUAAGUGUCAGGCUUGGCACUGAGCUUCAGGGAUAUAAGUAGUUGGCAAAAAACAGUCACAGCCUCUGACCUCAUGGAGAUGAAAAUUUAGUUUGGACAGGUUUUUCCACCACUGUGGGUGGACGACAUUGAUUGAACUUACCUUUUUUUCAUUCGAUACUCGAUAAAAUCUAGCUCAAACUCAAUGUAAAUGUCACACUCCAAGCAUUGUAAGCAGUUGCUUUAUCUCCUUAGAAUACUUCCUAAUAGAUGUUCUGCUGGAGUACAUGAGGGAGCAGACACGAGCACACUAAUUAGCUACCAGCAUGGUCCACCAGUUGGAGUUGAAGUCUGCAGCAAAAUUCCCUCUUGCUUGGGGGAGGUCAGUCUUUGGUUCUAUUCAGACCUUCAACUGAUUGGAUGAGGCCCACCCAGUGUAUGGAGGACAGUCUGCUUUACUCAAAGUUCACCAAUUUACAUGGAAAUCUCGUCCAAAAUCACCCUCACAGAAACAUCACAUUUAAUAUAUCCUCCAAAUGACAAACUACAUCUUUACACCUGAAUUAAAUAAUGAAAUAUUUCAGGUCAAAUACAUUUUGAAAAUUUAAGAAUUUAAGUACAUAUUACAUGACUAUGACGUGCAUGGCUCUUUGCUUGAUACUGGCCUUACACAGAUGAAUGACAUAGACAUAUUUCCCAUAUUCAUAGAACUUAGUUUGAUGGUAAAAUAAACAUAUUCAUGAGAUCAUAUGGUUUUUAUAUGCAACAUGAAAAGAAACAAUUGAAAUUUUCUCCACUCAGUGUCACAGGUACACAUUUAUGAAACUGAUUUCUUCUUUUAUUCACAAUGCUUAUCCUAUAACUGUUCCAUCAGCUUCCCUGACCUUUUUUAACAGAUAUAUCUGCAAAGACCACAGCUGUGUUAUCAGGACCUCAACACUGUUGCUCGUUAAUUUGGAUGAGUUACUGUAAUGCUCAGAGCCUCUGUGUCUUCAUUUCUAAAGUGAGUAUGAAAAUUUCUAUGUUGUCACAAUGGAAUGGUAAUGUGAUUGACAGAGAGACACAAGGUUUUAGUGGCAAAUGGAAAGGAAAUUUACAGCAACGGGAAAAACAGAGAAUAGUUACGGAAAGCAAGGGUUUACACAGUGAGGUUUCAGAGACCAGGAUGGCUUCUCGUACUGCCCCACAUUCCAAUGAGAUUAUGCAGCUUCGGGUGUGCUGCCUGGGUGGAGUGAGGAUCCUGCUAGCUGGGAGAAACUUGCUUUGCCAUUUUCAAGAGUGUUUUAAUACCCUAUUACUGGUAUCAGUCAGGCUGUCCUGGGGACUCUGGCUAUAUGCCUGCCUCCUGACUAGGUGCAAAUAACUAGCACAAAACAAAAUUAGCACCUUUCUGAGUGUUUACAUGGAGGUGGGAUGAAGCGAGGUUCUAUUACCCAUGAUCAGGCUUCAGCAGGCCUGGGCUUCAAGCUCUAGGAGGGUCCCUACUGCAAACAACUAGCUCACAAAGAUUCGAUGUGGAAACGUUUAAAGCACCCGGCCCAUCAUGGGCACCCAAUCAAUUAAAAACUAGAAUUCCGUGACAUGAAUAAUAUUGGUCAUGUUACUAUAUUACUAAAACGACAAGAAAAGAUAAUAUUCUAUGAGCUGGGUUCUCUUUAUUGCUAAAGUCACUCCUAACAGCAAGUUAUUAUUGUUAUUGUUAUCGUUAUUUGUUAUUUGGUAUAUUAUUAUUUAAUAUACUAUACUUAGAGUAUAUUCGGAUUUUUCAUAUUCCCAACCUCGUACAUUUUACUAUAUCCCAAGUUUCCUAAAAAAGCAAUACUUCAUCUUUGAAUGUAACUAAUACUGGUGGUUACAUAAUAUUUUAUUCUUUAUUUUUCUCAGGAACAACAGUGUGUAUGCUUAAAGAUGAUUAUUCAAAUAUUUAAUUGGUUUUAGUCAGAAUGAGCUUUCUCUUGAUUUUCUUCAUGUUAAGAAUAGCAAACUAUACUAUUUUUGAAUGCAAAUCAUAUGUUUUAAAAUGCCAUUCAGUUGCCUUACAUUACAAAUGAAAACAUGCAAAACUUGUGAUUGUGUUUUUAUAUA